GACGAACGCUGGCGGCGUGCCUAAUACAUGCAAGUCGAGCGGACUUGACAGAGCUUGCUCUGUUCAAGUUAGCGGCGGACGGGUGAGUAACACGUGGGCAACCUGCCCUGCAGAUUGGGAUAACUCCGGGAAACCGGGGCUAAUACCGAAUAACAUUGAAAACCUCAUGGUUUUCUUUUAAAAGGCGGCUUCGGCUGUCACUGCAGGAUGGGCCCGCGGCGCAUUAGCUAGUUGGUGAGGUAACGGCUCACCAAGGCGACGAUGCGUAGCCGACCUGAGAGGGUGAUCGGCCACACUGGGACUGAGACACGGCCCAGACUCCUACGGGAGGCAGCAGUAGGGAAUCUUCCGCAAUGGACGAAAGUCUGACGGAGCAACGCCGCGUGAGUGAAGAAGGUUUUCGGAUCGUAAAACUCUGUUGUUAGGGAAGAACAAGUACCGGAGUAACUGCCGGUACCUUGACGGUACCUGACCAGAAAGCCACGGCUAACUACGUGCCAGCCGCCGCGGUAAAAC
rnacentral:rRNA from 1 species